UACGGGGGGGAGCAAGCGUUGUUCGGAUUUACUGGGCGUAAAGGGCGCGUAGGCGGUCAGCACAAGUCAGUUGUGAAAUCUCCGGGCUUAACUCGGAAAGGUCAACUGAUACUGUGCGACUAGAGUGCAGAAGGGGCAACUGGAAUUCUCGGUGUAGCGGUGAAAUGCGUAGAUAUCGUAAGGAAGACCAGUGGCGAAGGCGGGUCUCUGGACAGUUCCUGACACUGAGACACGAAGGCCAGGGGAGCAAACGGG
rnacentral:rRNA from 1 species